rnacentral:lncRNA from 1 species
AUGCAGUGGCAUGAUCUCGACUCAUUGCAACCUCCACCUCCCAGGUUCAAGUGAUUCUUCUGCCUCAGCCUCCUGACUAGUUGGGAUUACAGGUGCCCAAUACCACGCCUGGCUAAUUUUUUUUUUAUUUUUAGUAGAAAGGGGGUUUCACUGUGUUGGCCAGGCUGGUCUCGAACCCCUGACCUCGUGAUCCGCUCACCUUGGCCUCCCAAAGUGCCGGGAUUGCAGGCGUGAGCCACCGCACCCAGCCUGAAGACUUUUAAAGCAUCAAAGCAUCUUGAAAACACCUGCUGCAGUGUUUUCAAGCUGGGGCCAUGGCAUCCUCAAAACUAAAUGCCCAUCUAACAUUAUCUGCAGGGUGAAUAAAUAAUAGAUGUUCUACUAUUUAUUAAAAAGUGCUACUAGAUUAAUUGUAGUGUUUUCUCAUUUUGUGUCUUUUCAAUUAACAGAUUCUACAAGCCCAAGCUUUUUUAUUGAGGAAUAUACGACAUCUUUUUAAGAUUAAACAAGGUCUUUAAAGCUAAAAUUGAUCCAAUUCAAUCCCUUCAUUGCAGACGAGGAACAGCACUGAGUUCCUGAAAAAGUGCCAAACUGAAUGGUGCAGUCCUGCCAAAAGAGACCCUGCGCUGUGCUGUGUUCUCAAAGGAAGGAAUGUGUUUCACAUCUCUACACCUCUGCAACUUGGGACAGCGUAGCUUUCCUAUUUUCUGGCACCCAAAAAGGGACAGCUGAUACACCCCACUCACUCCAGACUCUGCAGAUGAGAUCUGGGACAACUGACAAAAAGCUGGAGACAGGUAAGAAUUCUUGCCAAGGUCAGCUCUCCUGGAUCUUUAUCAGUAGCACCCCGUGGAGAGAAGAAGGUUAAAAACUUUUUCUUUCCCCUUACUUCCCAAAUUCUGAGUAUCAAGAGAAAAUCAUUUGUUUGAAUUGUGACUCCUAUGUAAAUGUGAUUUGGGGUACCCAUUCAUUAUUGAUCCUUUCCCUCCCAGGGACAGCUAUAACUUUC